rnacentral:rRNA from 1 species
AGAAUCAACGCUGGCGGCGUGCCUAACACAUGCAAGUCGAACGCGAAAGUCCCGAAAGGGAUAAGUAGAGUGGCAAACGGGUGAGUAACACGUGGGUGACCUGCCUUCGAGCGGGGGAUAACGUCCCGAAAGGGACGCUAAUACCGCAUAACAUCCUGCCUUUUAAGAGGUGGAGAUCAAAGCCGGGGACCGCAAGGCCUGGCACUUGAAGAGGGGCCCGCGUCUGAUUAGCUAGUUUGUGGGGUAACGGCCUACCAAGGCAACGAUCAGUA